rnacentral:rRNA from 1 species
UUUAUGGAGAGUUUGAUCCUGGCUCAGGAUGAACGCUGGCGGCGUGCCUAAUACAUGCAAGUCGAGCGAACGGACGAGAAGCUUGCUUCUCUGAUGUUAGCGGCGGACGGGUGAGUAACACGUGGAUAACCUACCUAUAAGACUGGGAUAACUUCGGGAAACCGGAGCUAAUACCGGAUAAUAUUUUGAACCGCAUGGUUCAAAAGUGAAAGACGGUCUUGCUGUCACUUAUAGAUGGAUCCGCGCUGCAUUAGCUAGUUGGUAAGGUAACGGCUUACCAAGGCAACGAUGCAUAGCCGACCUGAGAGGGUGAUCGGCCACACUGGAACUGAGACACGGUCCAGACUCCUACGGGAGGCAGCAGUAGGGAAUCUUCCGCAAUGGGCGAAAGCCUGACGGAGCAACGCCGCGUGAGUGAUGAAGGUCUUCGGAUCGUAAAACUCUGUUAUUAGGGAAGAACAUAUGUGUAAGUAACUGUGCACAUCUUGACGGUACCUAAUCAGAAAGCCACGGCUAACUACGUGCCAGCAGCCGCGGUAAUACGUAGGUGGCAAGCGUUAUCCGGAAUUA